UGCAAUGUCAGUGCCUGUUCUCUCCUGC
rnacentral:piRNA from 1 species